rnacentral:rRNA from 1 species
AGAGUUUGAUCAUGGCUCAGGACGAACGCUGGCGGCACGCUUAAAACAUGCAAGUCGAACGAGAAGCCCGGGCUUGCCCGGGUGGAAAGUGGCGAACGGGUGCGUAACACGUGAGCAACCUGCCCCGAAGACUGGGAUAACACCGGGAAACCGGUGCUAAUACCGGAUGCCUUCACCAUGUCGCAUGGCGAGGUGAAGAAAUGGAUUCCGCUUCGGGAUGGGCUCGCGGCCUAUCAGCUUGUUGGUGGGGUAAUGGCCUACCAAGGCAACGACGGGUAGCUGGUCUGAGAGGAUGUCCAGCCACACUGGGACUGAGACACGGCCCAGACUCCUACGGGAGGCAGCAGUUAGGAAUCUUGCGCAAUGGGCGAAAGCCUGACGCAGCGAUGCCGCGUGCGGGAUGAAGGCCCUCGGGUCGUAAACCGCUUUCAGCAGGGACGAUUGUGACGGUACCUGCAGAAGAAGCCCCGGCCAACUACGUGCCAGCAGCCGCGGUAAUACGUAGGGGGCAAGCGUUGUCCGGAUUUAUUGGGCGUAAAGAGCUCGUAGGCGGUUUGGUAAGUCGGGUGUGAAAUCUCCACGCUCAACGUGGAGGGGCCACUCGAUACUGCCAUGACUCGAGUCCGGUAGAGGAGUGUGGAAUUCCCGGUGUAGCGGUGAAAUGCGCAGAUAUCGGGAGGAACACCUGUAGCGAAGGCGGCACUCUGGGCCGGAACUGACGCUGAGGAGCGAAAGCGUGGGGAGCAAACAGGAUUAGAUACCCUAGUAGUCC